GAAAAUAAUUUAGGAAAUAAAUGAAUAUCUUGGAAACAGGGAAGUUUUCAUAAAACAAAAUGAAAAUUUGAGUAGCCUAAAUUUGAAAAAGUCUUAUAUUUUGACAUUUUAAAGUUAGAUGUCUACUUGUCUAGAGAGCAUGUUUUCAAAAGCUAAGGUGAUACCCAAAUAGAAAAUUAUAAUGUCCCUGUGCGCACCCUAAAAUUGAAAACUCAAGGAAUAUAUAAGAAUGUGCUUGUGAAAAAUAAAAGAAAAAGAACACUGGAGUUAUAUAUUCUUCUCCCAUCAAGAAGUUAAAUGAUUUUUUUCAAGUAUCCAGUACGUGUAAACACAGAAUCAUAUAUUGUAGGAGGGGUGAAAAUCAGACCAAUCAACCAAUGGAAAUGAAGACAAAGGGCCAAAUGAGCUUGUAGAUCAGGGCAGUAGCACGUAGUCAGUGCUCAGUAGAGGACCACCCUAGGCUUAUGAUUUAAUGCUCUCUGGUUGCUGUUGUGGAUUUCUUAUUCAAUUUGACUUGUAUUUGUUUUCUCUUAUGAAGUCAGAUAGGAUGAUGGUAAAUGUGUGUGGGCUUGAAAUUCAUACACAGUUUCACAUCUCUCUACUUAACUGGAAUGGGUCUUGGCCACCUUCCUCAGCAACAUGGCCCUAAAAAGCCUUCCUUUGCCCACUCUUGUCUGGUGACCACUGCAGCCCACUUGGUUCCAGGCAAUGGUUGGGUGUGGUCACAUUAUGUUUUGGGUUACAGAUUUCCAGAAGGGCCCUGAUAAUUUCUCAUCUAAAAUCAAUCUCAAUUCAUCAUGUUUCUAUAUUUAAAUCCUUAACAAUUUGCAAAUAAAUUGUUUUGCAUUUUCAGUGUUUCCUAGGUCCUACCAGCUACGGAGCUGGUCACCUGAAGAAUAAGAACUCAAUUGGAAAAACCAUAGAAACAAACGUACUGACAAAAUGAAGAUACUGCAUAUCCAAAGAAGACAAAGCAAAAAUUACUAAAGCCAAAAAUAUGAAACCAGGACCCACACAAUUGCAUUUAUAAAACCUCUCCCUGGGAUGAGAAGCAGUACAGCUCUGUGGCACCCUAGUCACCAGGGACAUGGACUUUGCUGGGGACAUGAGGGCUCCCUCCGGACAUUCUUCUCCUUUGGCAUCAUCACUGGAUCAAGGCAGCCAUCUCUCUACUAAACAGGGUGCUCUGUGCCCUUUUAUCAUAAACACUGGGAACACAAUAAAUGUCAUGAUAUAUUUCACUGGAAAAGUACAGGAGCAAAUAUACAUAUUUCUUGAACCUCAAUAACGUUGGAUGUCCUGAGAAUCACUCCAUUUCUGAAUACACAGAACUCAGCUCCACGCCCAGUAUAGACUGCUCCAGCACAACAGUCUGUCUUCCCAUGUGAUGGGCAUGGAUCCUUCCCACAGAGACACCAGGAGAGAGGAAGAUGAAACCAGCUUCUCUGUUUCUCAAAGAAGAAAGUUCCUGUGGUGUGAACUCAGAUUUAUUCAACACCGUGGCAUUAUAAUUAAUGUACUGGGUGAGAAGACCAAUUUUCUUAUCUACCUUUUCCAGAGGCUCAGCUGGGAGGAUUUUUCUUCACUCCCCAAAAGGAGGUGUAAACAUUGCCUGCAACACAGCCAGAACCCAUGGAGAGCAAGACUGAAGCCCACCAGAAGUCUCUCAGGUCAGUAAGGAUACAUCUGACACCAUAUCUUUCAAGUAAAUAAACACUGAAAACUUUUAUUUAAAAUGUUGUAUGAAAUUACAAUAUUGAAAACAAACUGAAGCUACAGUCAGUGUUUCACUUGCAUGGGCUGGAGAAG